UACGAAGGGGGCUAGCGUUGCUCGGAAUUACUGGGCGUAAAGCGCAUCGUAGGCGGCUCUUUAAGUCGGGGGGUGAAAUCCUGGGAGCUCAAACUCCCAGGAACUGCCUUCGAUACUGAAGAGCUUGAGUCCGGGAGAGGUGAGUGGAACUGCGAGUGUAGAGGUGAAAUUCGUAGAUAUUCGCAAGAACACCACGUAGGCGAAG
rnacentral:rRNA from 1 species